UCCAGACUCCUACGGGAGGCAGCAGUGGGGAAUAUUGCACAAUGGGGGAAACCCUGAUGCAGCGACGCCGCGUGAGCGAUGAAGUAUUUCGGUAUGUAAAGCUCUAUCAGCAGGGAAGAAAAUGACGGUACCUGACUAAGAAGCCCCGGCUAACUACGUGCCAGCAGCCGCGGUAAUACGUAGGGGGCAAGCGUUAUCCGGAUUUACUGGGUGUAAAGGGAGCGUAGACGGCAUAGCAAGUCUGGAGUGAAAGCCCGUGGCUCAACCGCGGAACUGCUUUGGAAACUGUUAAGCUGGAGUGCUGGAGAGGCAAGCGGAAUUCCUAGUGUAGCGGUGAAAUGCGUAGAUAUUAGGAGGAACACCAGUGGCGAAGGCGGCUUGCUGGACAGAGACUGACGUUGAGGCUCGAAAGCGUGGGGAGCAAACAGGAUUAGAUACCCUAGUACA
rnacentral:rRNA from 1 species